rnacentral:rRNA from 1 species
CAUUACCGAGUUUACAACUCCCAAACCCCUGUGAACAUACCAAUUGUUGCCUCGGCGGAUCAGCCCGCUCCCGGUAAAACGGGACGGCCCGCCAGAGGACCCCUAAACUCUGUUUCUAUAUGUAACUUCUGAGUAAAACCAUAAAUAAAUCAAAACUUUCAACAACGGAUCUCUUGGUUCUGGCAUCGAUGAAGAACGCAGCAAAAUGCGAUAAGUAAUGUGAAUUGCAGAAUUCAGUGAAUCAUCGAAUCUUUGAACGCACAUUGCGCCCGCCAGUAUUCUGGCGGGCAUGCCUGUUCGAGCGUCAUUUCAACCCUCAAGCCCUCGGGUUUGGUGUUGGGGAUCGGCGAGCCCUUGCGGCAAGCCGGCCCCGAAAUCUAGUGGCGGUCUCGCUGCAGCUUCCAUUGCGUAGUAGUAAAACCCUCGCAACUGGUACGCGGCGCGGCCAAGCCGUUAAACCCCCAACUUCUGAAUGUUGACCUCGGAUCAGGUAGGAAUACCCGCUGAACUUAAGCAUAUCAAUAAGCGGAGGAA